GCUUCUGGAUAUGGAAUCAACUCUUAGUCUCGCCAUAGCCAGUGAACGGACACUAUAACUUGACAUCAGGAAAAUCAGUCACAUCUACAACUAAAUGCAGUGGCUUUGUACUGUGUCAACUUAGCUAAGCCAGAAGUUUUGUUUCUCAGAUUUCCUGUCCCUGGGUGCCUCUGGGUCAGGACAGGCCGCUGGAAAAUUUUUCAUGAGGACUGGAAGGCAGAAGUGAAAUACAGCAGCCAUGUUUUCACUGAGAGGUCCAGUACAGUCUUGCUUUGCUCCGGCUCACAUGAGUCAUCACUGACCUGAUCACUCACCUCACCUCGCCGGCUGAGUCACAGCUGGGCCAAGAAUUCCUCCAGCCCCCUGGAGAGCUUGUCUUUCAGCUUCACCCAGUCCUGGUCCACAUGCAUGUGCAACUUCAGGACCAAGUGUGCCACCUUCACAAGAUCACUGGCCUCACUGAAACUGGAGGCUUGGAAGUAGUAAGAUAGAGACGCAGGUACCAGUUUACCGUAAUAAAAUCCAGCUCACCCUCA
rnacentral:lncRNA from 1 species